UACGUAGGGUGCAAGCGUUAAUCGGAAUUACUGGGCGUAAAGCGUGGGCAGGCGGCUUUGCAAGACAGAUGUGAAAUCCCCGGGCUUAACCUGGGAACUGCAUUUGUGACUGCAAGGCUAGAGUACGGUAGAGGGGGAUGGAAUUCCGCGUGUAGCAGUGAAAUGCGUAGAUAUGCGGAGGAACACCGAUGGCGAGGGCAAUCCCCUGGACCUGUACUGACGCUCAUGCACGAAAGCGUGGGGAGCAAACAGG
rnacentral:rRNA from 1 species